CGGCAGGACUCCGUUACACAGGUCGACGUCGGAGUAGUAGACUUUAACUGAGCUGUCUUCCUCGUAGUAGAUACUGAUCUUCUUGUUUGGGUUGUCGGCCCUGACGGUGACAUCGAACUCCGGCGAGAUCGACGCUGUCGCGGCCGCCGAGGAGACAUUGAAGCCGGUGAUGGAGAUGUCCUCGACGGAGUAGCUGAGGGCCUUGGGCCGGAUAACGAGGUAGAAAAUACCAGCGGCGAUGGCGAGUAGGAAGAUGAGGAGCGCGGCGAGGCCGAGGAACCAGCAGAGGCAGCAGCAGCAGCCGCUCCGUCGAGGCUUCCGGCCACUGUACUUCUGGUAGCGGCGGGCGUUUUCGGGAGGCGGGUGGCGGAAGAUCUGGUCCUUGGGGAUCUGGAUGACAUAGGUCCCCGCGGGAGGGACGGGAUUUUCCGGCGUUGGAGGAUUGGAAUUGGACGGGGAUUGGGGUGGGCGAGGCGACGUCGCAUCAGGAGAAGAGGCUUUGGGGUGAACUCGAUCAGCCAUUGCUCUGGACUUGAGUGGUUGUAAGAAAUGAAUAGAAGAAGAGUAG
rnacentral:lncRNA from 1 species